rnacentral:lncRNA from 1 species
CGAGCAUCACCAUCACCAGCACUAGCACCAACACUAUCACCACCACCAACGUUAACACCAGUACCUAAAUCUAUUACAGCAUCACCAAAAACCUUAAUAACAUGCUCAACAAGAAAAAUUUGACCUUCCCUAGUUGCUUCUCUUUUGAUAGCUAUUGCUCCAGCCAAUUCUUUCUUCAUCAAGUCCACCGUUGGGUAUGGUUUUGUUUUAACAAUACCUAAAGUAAGAAAGAAAGGCAUCUCUAAUUCUUACUUAGUAGGUAUAAGACAAGAAUGCACCACCUAUAAAUAAAAGUAGAUAUAUUAAAAUCAAACUAUAGUUUUUAAGAGAUUUACAAUAUUCUAAGUCAUCUGUCGCAACUGAUUACCCAUCUAUUGUAUUAGUUUGCAGUAGAUUGGGUAAUCUAUUAACAGGUUCAGAGAACCUAGUAACUGAUGUACCAUCUGUUGCAUAAGUUAUAGUAGAUGGGUAAUCUGUAGAGAUACGUUACAACAGAUGAACCAUUUGUUGCACCAUUUGUUGUAAAUAAAUAGAUCUUCUAUUGCAAUAAAUGGCCUAUUUGUUGCAAUGUGUUAACUUGUUAACUAGAGUAAAAUUAUUAUAUCUAAAAGAACACUUACUACAUCAUCAGUAGGACUAAAGUGAUCGAGGGGAUUCACCCUUGAGUUGUUC